UGGGGAAUCUUCCGCAAUGGACGAAAGUCUGACGGAGCAACGCCGCGUGAACGAUGACGGCCUUCGGGUUGUAAAGUUCUGUUAUACGGGACGAAUGGUACGACGGCCAAUACCCGUCGUAAGUGACGGUACCGUAAGAGAAAGCCACGGCUAACUACGUGCCAGCAGCCGCGGUAAUACGUAGGUGGCAAGCGUUGUCCGGAAUUAUUGGGCGUAAAGGGCGCGCAGGCGGCGUCGUAAGUCGGUCUUAAAAGUGCGGGGCUUAACCCCGUGAGGGGACCGAAACUGCGAUGCUAGAGUAUCGGAGAGGAAAGCGGAAUUCCUAGUGUAGCGGUGAAAUGCGUAGAUAUUAGGAGGAACACCAGUGGCGAAAGCGGCUUUCUGGACGACAACUGACGCUGAGGCGCGAAAGCCAGGGGAGCAAACGGG
rnacentral:rRNA from 3 species